rnacentral:rRNA from 1 species
GAUGAACGCUGGCGGCGUGCCUAAUACAUGCAAGUCGAGCGAACAGACGAGGAGCUUGCUCCUUUGACGUUAGCGGCGGACGGGUGAGUAACACGUGGGUAACCUACCUAUAAGACUGGGAUAACUUCGGGAAACCGGAGCUAAUACCGGAUAAUAUUUCGAACCGCAUGGUUCGAUAGUGAAAGAUGGCUUUGCUAUCACUUAUAGAUGGACCUGCGCCGUAUUAGCUAGUUGGUAAGGUAACGGCUUACCAAGGCAACGAUACGUAGCCGACCUGAGAGGGUGAUCGGCCACACUGGAACUGAGACACGGUCCAGACUCCUACGGGAGGCAGCAGUAGGGAAUCUUCCGCAAUGGGCGAAAGCCUGACGGAGCAACGCCGCGUGAGUGAUGAAGGACUUCGGAUCGUAAAACUCUGUUAUUAGGGAAGAACAAACGUGUAAGUAACUGUGCACGUCUUGACGGUACCUAAUCAGAAAGCCACGGCUAACUACGUG